rnacentral:rRNA from 1 species
AGAGCGAACGCUGGCGGCAGGCCUAACACAUGCAAGUCGAGCGGCCGUAGCAAUACGGCAGCGGCAGACGGGAUAGUAACACGUGGGAACGCGCCCUUCGGUUCGGAAUAACUCAGGGAAACUUGAGCUAAUACCGGAUACGCCCUUACGGGGAAAGAUUUAUUGCCGAAGGAACGGCCCGCGUCCGAUUAGCUAGUUGGUGAGGUAAUGGCUCACCAAGGCUACGAUCGGUAGCUGGUCUGAGAGGAUGACCAGCAUCACUGGGACUGAGACACGGCCCAGACUCCUACGGGAGGCAGCAGUGGGGAAUAUUGAACAAUGGGCGCAAGCCUGAUCCAGCCAUGCCGCGUGGAUGAUGAAGGCCUUAGGGUUGUAAAGUCCUUUUAACGGGGAAGAUAAUGACGGUACCCGUAGAAUAAGCCCGGCUAACUUCGUGCCAGCAGCCGC